AUGGUAAAUUUUUACAGAAUGCUAAUUCUCAGAUGUUUAUGUCUCUUCCUUUUUACUUAUUUAGAACACCUUGUAUAUAGCAGUCUUAGCUCUGUACAAGCUACUAAACGAUAUAGAAAGUUGGAGUUCAAAUUUAUAAAAUCUGACCCUGGGAACCACAUUAGUACAACAUAUCUAUUCAAGCUUGAGGUUGUUUUAUUGGAACUGACCAUGAGACUGUUGAAGUUACUCUUGUGGACUGGCAAUGAGAAGAUAGUAGCAACUGCUUGGACAUGCCAAAUUCCUAAAAUUUUAACUCUAAUGUACAGAAACAUUUUACUGAUUUUUACACUGGAAAUUUGA
rnacentral:rRNA from 1 species